AGUGUAACUUGUGGACGCUGGGUGUCGGGAUGCAAGUACAGGGAGUGACUUUAAUAAUAAAUAACACAAGGAACAAAACAAGAAACACGAGUAGCAUACAGACAUGAAACAGUGAAACAGAAACAAUAACACCUGGGGAAGGAACCAAGAGGAAUGGCAGAUAUAGGGGAGGUAAUCAGGGAGGUGAUGGAGCCCAGGUAAGUCUGAUGAGGCGUUGGUGCACCUAACAAUGGUGACAGGUGUACGUAAUGAUGAGCAGACUGGCGACCUUGAAUGCCGGAGGGGCAGUAUACGUGACACAGAGGCUAAGACCAUAUUGUAUUAAUGAGAUAGAGGUGGUGGACAGAGGAUAAGACCAUACUGUAACAAUGAGAUAGAGGUGGUGGACAGAGGAUAAGACCAUACUGUAACAAUGAGAUAGAGGUGGUGGACAGAGGGGCAGAAUACGUGACAAGGAGGAUAAGACCAUACUGUAACAAUGAGAUAGAGAUGGUGGAAAGAGGAUAAGACCAUACUGUAACAAUGAGAUAGAGGUGGUGGACAGAGGGGCAGAAUACGUGACACAGAGGAUAAGACCAUACUGUAACAAUGAGAUAGAGGUGGUGGACAGAGGCUAAGACCAUACUGUAACAAUGAGAUAGAGGUGGUGGACAGAGGAUAAGACCAUACUGUAACAAUGAGAUAGAGGUGGUGGACAGAGGUUAAGACCAUACUGUAACAAUGAGAUAGAGGUGGUGGACAGAGGAUAAGACCAUACUGUAACAAUGAGAUAGAGGUGGUGGACAGAGGAUCAGACCAUACUGUAACAAUGAGAUAGAGGUGGUGGACAGAGGAUAAGACCAUACUGUAACAAUUAGAUGGAUGUGGUGGACAGAGGAUAAGACCAUACUGUAACAAUGAGAUAGAGGUGGUGGACAGAGGAUAAGACCAUACUGUAACAAUGAGAUAGAGGUGGUGGACAGAGGAUCAGACCAUACUGUAACAAUGAGAUAGAGGUGGUGGACAGAGGAUAAGACCAUACUGUAACAAUGAGAUAGAGGUGGUGGACAGAGGAUAAGACCAUACUGUAACAAUGAGAUAGAGGUGGUGGACAGAGGCUAAGACCAUACUGUAACAAUGAGAUAGAGGUGGUGGACAUAGGCUAAGACCAUACUGUAACAAUGAGAUAGAGGUGGCGGACAGAGGAUAAGACCAUACUGUAACAAUGAGAUAGAGGUGGCGGACAGAGGAUAAGACCAUACUGUAACAAUGAGAUAGAGGUGGUGGACAUAGGAUAAGACCAUACUGUAACAAUGAGAUAGAGGUGGUGGACAGAGGCUAAGACCAUACUGUAACAAUGAGAUAGCGGUGGUGGACAGAGGAUAAGACCAUAAUGUAGCAAUGAGAUUGAGGUGGUGGACAGAGGCUAAGACCAUACUGUAACAAUGAGAUAUAGGUGGUGGACAGAGACUAAGACCAUACUGUAACAAUGAGAUAGAGGUGGUGGACAGAGGAUAAGACCAUACUGUAACAAUGAGAUAGAGGUGGUGGACAGAGGCUAAGACCAUACUGUAACAAUGAGAUAGAGGUGGUGGACAGAGG